rnacentral:misc_RNA from 1 species
GAUGAAGAACGUAGUGAAAUGUGAUAAGUAAUGUGAAUUGCAGAAUUCAGUGAAUCAUCGAAUCUUUGAACGCACAUUGCGCCCCUUGGUAUUCCGAGGGGCAUGCCUGUUCGAGCGUCAUUAUAACCCCUCAAGCUCAGCUUGGUGUUGGGGCCUGCCGCACGGGCAGCCCUUAAAAUCAGUGGCGGUGCCAUCUGGCUCUAAGCGUAGUAAUUCUUCUCGCUAUAGAGUCCCGGUGGAUGCUUGCCAUUAACCCCCAAUUUUCUAUGGUUGACCUCGGAUCAGGUAGGGAUACCCGCUGAACUUAAGCAUAUCAAUAAGCGGAGGA